UCGCUACAUUAAAACACUGUUUGGAACCCCUAUUGGUAUAAAAGGAAAUUAACUGCUUAAGACAAUAAAAAGGAAGAUAGCUACACGGAAAAAAAAAGGAGAAAGAGAGACCGAGAGACAGAGAAAUAGAGAGGCAGAGAACGCAGAAGGAGAGAGAGAUCGAGAGAUCAAAAACUGCACGCUCUAAAAAUUGAAACCCAAAACACACAAUCAUCCAUUCUUUCCAUUUGUUAACACAAACGGCCAAAAGAAAAGAUUUUCCCUGCCGAUGAAAAAGAAAAAACAGAAGCCCAUUGACAUAUUUCCACGGUUUGCAAUCAAGAAUGAAAAGAAGUCUCUCACUUUCCUGUCAGAUUUCUUCAUCUAACUGUCCAUUAAUUUCUUUCACCGUUUGACAUUCUCAUCUGCACGCCCUCAAGUUCAACCAGGUACCAAUUUCGAAUCGAUCAGAUUCCAGAUCGUUUAGAUCUACUUUGAUUUUUUUUCGUUUUUGUCAGAUCUAGGGUUUGUAAUCUGCUCUUUGGAUGAAUAUAUUGCUUUUGUUUAUUGGUGGUGUUAGUACUCUACUUUGAAUAUUCCGAUUUCAAUGUAUUUCUCCCUGAACUGUUCACAUUCUAGAUUUCGGAAUCGGAAUGAUUGUGUUAGUGAAAUGAGCUGCAUCACUUCCCAAUGAAAACUUCAAAGUCACUGUAACUGAGACCUGCUCUUCCACCCUGUUUCGUUUCUUCUCUGUAACUCCAUACACACAUGGUCAGAAUAGCGUGGUUAAUUUCCCUCUUUCGGAUACUCUCUCUGAUGAUUUGGCCCACUUUUUAACUGUUUGCAUGUUCCGUUCCAGACCAACAGACAGAGGAAAAAAGAAAAUCCAAAAGGAACUAGAUUCUCUCGACAUUAUUAGACUUUUCACUUUUGUUAGGUGCAAACUGGAAUUUUGUGUAUGGACAUGAUGCUAUAGAUUUCUGGUGGGCAUCAGUAUAGCCAAUUCAUAUUUCAUGGGGCUGGUAUCUCACCCUUUCAAUUGCCAGGUGCUCUAUACAAAGGCAUAUAUUAAUUUUGAAAUAUCAAAGGGUGUGGUUGAAUGGAUCAAAGAGCUUGAUGAGAGACUUAUAGACAUAUUAAAGCAUUUGAAGGUCUGGAUAAGCCAUAAAAAGUUGGAGGUUACUUUUAACUUUGUGCCAAGAUAGAGUAAACCACUCAAAUUUCUUAUAUUGGUGUACUGUUUUAAGAGAUUUGAGCUUUUAUAGGACUUUGAACUUCUGUUAAUAUUCAUGUAUUACUUAAGGGUUUUUUUUGCAUGGAAACUUCCAUAUGGAUCUAACAUUUCUUUAUUGUUAUAUUUUUUUAAUUAUGUUUUAAUUACUUGAAUUUUUUCCUUGAAUUAGAAGCAUAUAAGUUUG